AUGUCGAUGGUUUCUGCAAUUCACUCGGCCCGCGCCUAUCUCAACGCGACGAGGGAGUGCUACAACUCCACAGGGGGGUUCGCCGGGGGGAACACCAACAAGGCGUACAUGACGCUCUCAGACACCCCCUACCUCUUCUCGUCCACCAAGAACCACUUCGUCGCGCUCAGCUGCCCCAACCCCGGCUACUACGUCAACGGUUGCAUGUCCGUGUGCCGCCCGUCGGACCACGCCAUGCCAGGCCUGUGCACCGCCGUCGGGUGCUGCCAGAGCGAGAUGCCCUCCGGCAUCAAUUUCUUCGAGCCUACAAUUCGUGACUUUCCGCCGGGAGGGGAGGACCUCUCCUUCUACGCCAACAGCGCGCCGUGCCACUACGUGUUCCUCGCGACAAGGAGUGGUUCAGCUACACCUACCACGUCUUCCUCGACCGCACCGACGACUUCGAUGUGCCGGUCGUCGACGUUCCGGAUGCAUAGGUACACAUUCUGAAUCGGCGAGUGCCAGCUAAAAGACAAAUACCCUUGCUACGGUGUGUGCAGAAACACACUAGGGAGUUACACAUGCCAAUGCCCUUCAGGUACUAGUGGAGAUUUCAACGUCAAGAAUGGCUGCCGGCCAGAUGACAAGUUCACAUUAGCUCCGAAAGUCGUUACAGGUGUUAUCGUUGGACUGGGUGCUGCUUUUGGAAUGCUACUUGUUGGUUUGAGUGGGAUAUUCGUUUUCUAUAGAUGGAAAAGAGGUAUUAGAAAACAACAAUGCAAGAUGUACUUUCAAAAAAACCAGGGCCUUCUGUUGGAACAACUCAUAUUAUCAGAUGAAAAUGCAAGUAAUAGGACAAUGAUUUUCUCCUUGGAAGAGUUGGAGAAGGCAACAAACAAUUUCGACGACACUCGAAUUGUAGGACGUGGAGGGCAUGGCAUGGUAUACAAAGGCAUCUUAUCUGACCAACGCGUGGUAGCUAUAAAAAAGUCGAAACUUGUUGAGGAAGCUGAGAUCAAUGAGUUUAUUAAUGAGGUUGCAAUCCUCUCUCAGAUAAAUCAUCGAAAUAUCGUGAAGCUCUUUGGAUGUUGUCUUGAAACAGAAGUGCCCCUGUUGGUGUCUGAUUUUAUCCCUAAUGGUUCUUUAUUUGACGUCCUGCAUGGUGAGUCAGUCAGUGGGCACUCUUUAUCCUGGGACGACUGUUUGAGGAUUGCUCUAGAAUCUGCUGGAGCUCUAUGUUAUUUACAUACAUCUGCUUCCAUAUCAGUUUUUCAUUGUGAUGUCAAGUCCUCUACUAAUAUAUUGUUGGAUGCAUAUUACACCGUUAAAGUUUCAGAUUUUGGUGCAUCGAGAACAGCUCCAAUUCACCAAACUCAUGUGACUACAAAUGUACAAGGAACAUAUGGAUACUUGGAUCCAGAAUAUUAUCAAACUGGGCAACUAAACGAGAAAAGUGAUGUGUAUAGUUUUGGUGUGUUACUCCUAGAGUUGCUUACAAGAAAAGAGCCGGUUUUCCGAAGCAAUGCAGGUGGAGAGUGUUAUCAAAACUUGUCCAUCUACUUCAUUUCAGAGAUCAAAGUGAGGGCCGUAGGAGAGGUGGUGGCUACUCAAGUUCUUGAAGAAGCAACCGAGGAUGAGAUUAAUACCAUUGCCUCUCUUGCGGAGAUGUGUUUGUGUCUCCGCGGAGAAGAAAGGCCUACCAUGAAGCAAGUGGAGAGUACAUUACAAUAUUUGAGAACAAAAAGGUUGAGCUCAUGUCAAAUUGGUGAAGGAAGCGACGAAGAAAUCCAACCAUUAGUCACUAGCUGUCAACCACCAACUGUCCCUAGUUCUCAACCUUUGGCCAUUCAAAUGGCCGGCAAAGGUCAUUCCCAAUCCUCUACUACUUUCUUCAGUCUGGAGUGA
rnacentral:rRNA from 1 species